rnacentral:ncRNA from 1 species
AUAAACUAAUUAGGUUCCUAUUUUAUAUAGGUGAAGAGGGAAUGAGAUAUUAAUUAAAAGUUAACUCAGCUGCCCCCGCAACUGUUGAUGGAGAGAGAAUCCAAAUUACCACUGUAUUAUAUACGGGAAGGUAGGAUAAUUGAUGACCCAUAAGCCAGGAUACCUGCCUAAUUA